rnacentral:rRNA from 1 species
CAUUCACGGAGAGUUUGAUCCUGGCUCAGGACGAACGCUGGCGGCGUGCUUAACACAUGCAAGUCGAACGAUGAAACCGCUUCGGUGGUGGAUUAGUGGCGAACGGGUGAGUAACACGUGGGCAAUCUGCCCUUCACUCUGGGACAAGCCCUGGAAACGGGGUCUAAUACCGGAUAACACUCUGUCCCGCAUGGGACGGGGUUGAAAGCUCCGGCGGUGAAGGAUGAGCCCGCGGCCUAUCAGCUUGUUGGUG